UACGGAGGGUGCAAGCGUUGUCCGGAUUCAUUGGGUUUAAAGGGUGCGCAGGCGGGACAUUAAGUCAGGGGUGAAAGCCCAGAGCUCAACUCUGGAACUGCCUUUGAAACUAGAGGACUUGGGUACGGGAGAGGUGAGUGGAAUUCCGAGUGUAGAGGUGAAAUUCGUAGAUAUUCGGAAGAACACCAGUGGCGAAGGCGGCUCACUGGCCCGUUACCGACGCUCAGGCGCGACAGCGUGGGGAGCAAACAGG
rnacentral:rRNA from 1 species